AGUUUAAUUCCUCUGAUGAAUUAUAUUAUCAUCAGAGUGCGAAUGUCUGUGCAAAUUUCUAUUCCUGUACGAACGUGUUUGAAAAAUAUAGAAUUCAAAUUACACUUGCAUAAUGUAGAGUUCGGAAGAGAAC